GGAUAAGCCUGGGAAACUGGGUCUUAUACCGGAUAGGAGCGUCCACCGCAUGGUGGGUGUUGGAAAGAUUUAUCGGUUUUGGAUGGACUCGCGGCCUAUCAGCUUGUUGGUGAGGUAAUGGCUCACCAAGGCGACGACGGGUAGCCGGCCUGAGAGGGUGACCGGCCACACUGGGACUGAGACACGGCCCAGACUCCUACGGGAGGCAGCAGUGGGGAAUAUUGCACAAUGGGCGAAAGCCUGAUGCAGCGACGCCGCGUGAGGGAUGACGGCCUUCGGGUUGUAAACCUCUUUCAGUAGGGAAGAAGCGAAAGUGACGGUACCUGCAGAAGAAGCACCGGCUAACUACGUGCCAGCAGCCGCGGUAAUACGUAGGGUGCGAGCGUUAUCCGGAAUUAUUGGGCGUAAAGAGCUCGUAGGCGGUUUGUCGCGUCUGUCGUGAAAGUCCGGGGCUUAACCCCGGAUCUGCGGUGGGUACGGGCAGACUAGAGUGCAGUAGGGGAGACUGGAAUUUCUGGUGUAGCGGUGGAAUGCGCAGAUAUCAGGAGGAACACCGAUGGCGAAGGCAGGUCUCUGGGCUGUAACUGACGCUGAGGAGCGAAAGCAUGGGGAGCGAACAGGAUUAGAUACCCUGGUAGUCCAUGCCGUAAACGUUGGGCACUAGGUGUGGGGACCAUUCCACGGUUUCCGCGCCGCAGCUAACGCAUUAAGUGCCCCGCCUGGGGAGUACGGCCGCAAGGCUAAAACUCAAAGGAAUUGACGGGGGCCCGCACAAGCGGCGGAGCAUGCGGAUUAAUUCGAUGCAACGCGAAGAACCUUACCAAGGCUUGACAUGUUCCCGAUCGCCGUAGAGAUACGAUUUCCCCUUUGGGGCGGGUUCACAGGUGGUGCAUGGUUGUCGUCAGCUCGUGUCGUGAGAUGUUGGGUUAAGUCCCGCAACGAGCGCAACCCUCGUUCCAUGUUGCCAGCACGUAAUGGUGGGGACUCAUGGGAGACUGCCGGGGUCAACUCGGAGGAAGGUGAGGACGACGUCAAAUCAUCAUGCCCCUUAUGUCUUGGGCUUCACGCAUGCUACAAUGGCCGGUACAAUGGGUUGCGAUACUGUGAGGUGGAGCUAAUCCCAAAAAGCCGGUCUCAGUUCGGAUUGGGGUCUGCAACUCGCCCCCAUGAAGUCGGAGUCGCUAGUAAUCGCAGAUCAGCAACGCUGCGGUGAAUACGUUCCCGGGCCUUGUAC
rnacentral:rRNA from 1 species